rnacentral:sRNA from 1 species
AAAACAAAUAAACUCUGUAUUCACCCGUCACUAAAUAGCUGGGCCCUAUGCGAAACGGAUUUCGCGGGGCCAAGUUUGGACUACUACUCUCAUGGAGGGAGGAUCAAGAAAACAACUCUGUAUGGGUGCAAUGGUGCAUGCAGCUUACAAAGAUUAUCUCUACAGAUGUAUCGGUAUCACCUGCAUUCAGAUGAAGUCUUUGAAGGCUUUCAAGAUGUUGAAAAACUGAGUCAAAUUCUUCAAAUUCAUUGUUA